AACGCACAUUGCGCCCCCUGGCAUUCCGGGGGGCAUGCCUGUCCGAGCGUCAUUGCUGCCCAUCAAGCCCGGCUUGUGUGUUGGGUCGUCGUCCCCCCCGGGGGACGGGCCCGAAAGGCAGCGGCGGCACCGUGUCCGGUCCUCGAGCGUAUGGGGCUUUGUCACCCGCUCGAUUAGGGCCGGCCGGGCGCCAGCCGACGUCUCCAACCAUUUUUUUCAGGUUGACCUCGGAUCAGGUAGGGAUACCCGCUGAACUUAA
rnacentral:misc_RNA from 1 species